rnacentral:tRNA from 1 species
GGGUGGGUAGCCCAGUAGUCAGAGCUUAGGUCUUCUAACCGGAAGGUCUCGGGAUCGAAUCCCGCUAGAGGCA